CUUCUCGACGGGAUAUGCAGCCGCGGACGAGAGAGAGCAACGAGAGCAAUGCAGUGGAGGACAUGCAAACGAACCAGGAGCAGAAAAAGAAACAGUGCACCUGCCGUGGUGGCAUAACGCUGGACAAGUUAUGUGGUUAUAUUAUCCAUUGGAAAAUACCGGACCUAAUGAAGACACCGAGCUGAAAGGUUUCCGUUGGAUGCGCAGUCAAUCGUCAAGUCCGUCACCGGAUCAACCACCAGUUCUGGAUACGACUGCAUUGCUCGGCUGGCAACAUGGCACCUUAUCUACGGCAUGCACAGUACUAAAGCACACCCAUUUCGACAGCACUUCGGGCCACGACACCGCAGCUGUGAUGCCACGCUCACUUUUCAUGCUUGUGCAGGUUCGUCUCUGUUUGAAGGAUGUGGGUUUCUUGGGAAGCAACCGCUAAAGAAGGAGCUAAAUGAGCUUUGAAACAUCGG